AAGACCUUGCGCUUUUGGAGCGGCCGAUGUCUGAUUAGCUUGUUGGUGAGGUAAAAGCUUACCAAGGCUUCGAUCAGUAGCUGGUCUGAGAGGACGACCAGCCACACUGGGACUGAGACACGGCCCAGACUCCUACGGGAGGCAGCAGUGGGGAAUUUUGGACAAUGGGGGAAACCCUGAUCCAGCCAUGCCGCGUGAGUGAAGAAGGCCUUCGGGUUGUAAAGCUCUUUCAGCCGGAACGAAACGGUUACGGUCAAUACCCGUGACUACUGACGGUACCGGGAGAAGAAGCACCGGCUAACUACGUGCCAGCAGCCGCGGUAAUACGUAGGGUGCGAGCGUUAAUCGGAAUUACUGGGCGUAAAGCGUGCGCAGGUGGUUUUGUAAGUCAGAUGUGAAAUCCCCGGGCUUAACCUGGGAACU
rnacentral:rRNA from 1 species